rnacentral:rRNA from 1 species
CCUACGGGAGGCAGCAGUGAGGAAUAUUGGUCAGUGGGCGAGAGCCUGAACCAGCCAAGUCGCGUGAGGGAAGACGGUCCUAUGGGUUGUAAACCUCUUUUGUCGGGGAGCAAGACCCGCCUCGUGCAGGCGGAGCGAGAGUACCCGAAGAAAAAGCAUCGGCUAACUCCGUGCCAGCAGCCGCGGUAAUACGGAGGAUGCGAGCGUUAUCCGGAUUUAUUGGGUUUAAAGGGUGCGCAGGCGGACCAUCAAGUCAGCGGUAAAAUCG